UACAGAGGUCUCAAGCGUUGUUCGGAUUCAUUGGGCGUAAAGGGUGCGUAGGCGGCGCCUUAAGUCAGGUGUGAAAUUUCGGAGCUUAACUCCGAAACUGCAUUCGAUACUGCGGUGCUUGAGGACUGGAGAGGAGACUGGAAUUAAUGGUGUAGCAGUGAAAUGCGUAGAGAUCAUGAGGAAGACCAGUGGCGAAGGCGGGUCUCUGGACAGUUCCUGACACUGAGACACGAAGGCCAGGGGAGCAAACGGG
rnacentral:rRNA from 1 species